GUCCGGGUAGCGUAGUGGUUAACGCACCUGCCUGCUACGCAGGAGAUACCGAGUUCGAAUCCCGGUCUGGCACA